rnacentral:rRNA from 1 species
UACGGGGGGGGCAAGCGUUGUUCGGAAUUACUGGGCGUAAAGGGCUCGUAGGUGGCCAACUAAGUCAUACGUGAAAUCCCUCGGCUUAACCGGGGAACUGCGUCUGAUACUGGAUGGCUUGAAUCCGGGAGAGGGAUGCAGAAUUCCAGGUGUAGCGGUGAAAUGCGUAGAUAUCUGGAGGAAUACCGGUGGCGAAGGCGGCAUCCUGGACCGGCAUUGACGCUGAGGAGCGAAAGCUAGGGGAGCAAACGGG